rnacentral:rRNA from 1 species
GUGAGGAAUUUUCCGCAAUGGGCGAAAGCCUGACGGAGCAAUGCCGCGUGAAGGAUGAAGGCCUAUGGGUUGUAAACUUCUUUUCUCAGAAAAGAAUUAUGACGGUAUCUGAGGAAUAAGCAUCGGCUAACUCUGUGCCAGCAGCCGCGGUAAGACAGAGGAUGCAAGCGUUAUCCGGAAUGAUUGGGCGUAAAGCGUCUGUAGGUUGUUUAAAAAGUAUUCUGUCAAAGAUUAGGGCUUAACCCUAGAUAGGCAGAAUAAACUUUUAAGCUAGUGUUGGGUAGAGGCAGAGGGAAUUCCCGGUGGAGCGGUGAAAUGCGUAGAUAUCGGGAGGAACACCAAAGGCGAAGGCACUCUGCUGGGCCAAUACUAACACUGAGAGACGAAAGCGAGGGGAGCAAAUGGGAUUAGAAACCCGGGUAGUCC